UACAGGGGGGGCAAGCGUUGUUCGGAAUUACUGGGCGUAAAGGGUUCGUAGGUGGCCAACUAAGUCAGACGUGAAAUCCCUCAGCUUAACUGGGGAACUGCGUCUGAAACUGGUUGGCUUGAGUGCAGGAGAGGAAUGCGGAAUUCCAGGUGUAGCGGUGAAAUGCGUAGAUAUCUGGAGGAACACCGGUGGCGAAGGCGGCAUUCUGGACUGUAACUGACACUGAGGAACGAAAGCCAGGGGAGCAAACGGG
rnacentral:rRNA from 1 species